UACGUAGGGCGCAAGCGUUGUCCGGAAUUAUUGGGCGUAAAGAGCUCGUAGGCGGCCUGUUACGUCUGCUGUGAAAUCCCGGGGCUUAACCCCGGGCGUGCAGUGGAUACGGGCAGGCUGGAGGCAGGCAGGGGAGAACGGAAUUCCCGGUGUAGCGGUGAAAUGCGCAGAUAUCGGGAGGAACACCGGAUGGCGAAGGCGUCACUC
rnacentral:rRNA from 1 species